rnacentral:rRNA from 1 species
CAGCCGCCGCGGUAAUACGUAGGUCCCGAGCGUUGUCCGGAUUUAUUGGGCGUAAAGCGAGCGCAGGCGGUUAGAUAAGUCUGAAGUUAAAGGCUGUGGCUUAACCAUAGUAUGCUUUGGAAACUGUUUAACUUGAGUGCAGAAGGGGAGAGUGGAAUUCCAUGUGUAGCGGUGAAAUGUGUAGAUAUAUGGAGGAACACCGGUGGCGAAAGCGGCUCUCUGGUCUGUAACUGACGCUGAGGCGCGAAAGCUAGGGGAGCAAACAGGAUUAGAUACCCCAGUAGUCCCUGUCUCUUAUACA